CCUUGCGCUGACGGGACCCUGGGUUCUGCCCGCUCCCAAGAGGGCUUGGUGAAGCCCCUCCAGCAGCACCUCCAGCCGCUGCGGGUGCCGACCUGCCACCAGGUGGCUUUCGCCUCACAGAGCUUCCCCACCCACCCCGGGACUCGGGACGCGGCCAGCAGACAGUCUGUCUCCGGUGUCCCCCGGGGGCCAGCUCUGCACCCGUCCCCGGGGCCGAAGGAUACGGGGUGUGGUGGGCACCGGCCAACACGUCUCCUGCUUCACCCGAGCGGCGUUCUCAAGUCUGAGCUCUUUGGAGCGUCUCCUCGUUCUUGAUUCUGCCCUCUUCUCUGGAGCCCUUCAUGGCGCUGAGCGGGACCAGGCACCUCACAGGGCUGCAUUUCUUGCGAGAGCACCUAGCCCUGUAGAUGCUGGCUCUGAGAACCAAGUACUGCGUGAACUGUCUGGCGGGGCAUCUGUUAGGAGGACCAAGCUGGGGAAGGGGGCCGUGGGCACACACACUGACCACGGUGAGCCAGGUGGAAAGACGUGUUUGUCCUGCCAAACCUUCAGACCAUCCAGAGGGUACCAACGGUGUUGUGGGUCCAAAGCAGAAGACUGAAGAUCUGCUGGGAACCGCCAGGGCUCUCUUACAGGCGAGGAUGCUGAGACCAGAGGACAGAGGUGGACAAUGAGAGAGGUCCACAUUGGCCAGAUGUAUUCGACUGACAAGCUUGUCAUUGAGAAUCAAGAGAAGCCCCGGGCCUAGGAGCUGGGACCAGCCUCCAACAGCAGCAUGGACCACCGGCAGCAUCUGUUCUGUUUGCCGCAGGGCCCCUAGCAGACCUCGAGGGGCCCCUGCAUCAGCUUUAAGUAGCCUCACUCUGCCUGCCCUCCAGGAACUGAUGAACUGAGCGAAGUGUCGCCUCUUCUGCAGCCUUAGUGACAGAGGUCGGCUGGAGCGCCUCGAGGGAAGGCCGUGUACAGUGGUGUCUCGUCCACCCCACCCCUCUCUGUGGCUCCGCAGCACCUGUAUAAAGCAUUUCCAGACAUGUUUCUCAGUCCUUGACAAUAAAUGAAAGCAUCUCCCUGGCCUUCUCUACCAGA